GGAUUGUAGUUCAGUGGUAAAAUGCUAGCCUAGCAUGUGUGAGGCACUGAGUUCAAUCCUCAGCACCA
rnacentral:tRNA from 1 species